AGGCAAUUUCACUGCCUGCCCCACAUCCCUGUUUUUAAUAAGAAGUUAAACUGGAGCAUUGAAAAGAUUUCCCUCAAAUAACUCUUUAGGAAUCUAAAUAUGUUUCUAUUCAUUUAUAGAUUUUUUAAAAGAUUUUAUUUAUUCAUGAGAGACACACACAUACAGAGGUGAAGGCAGACACUCAACCACUGAGCCACCCAGGCGUCCCACAUGUAUACAUUUAUGUAAAUACAUUCAUAAUAACAAAUGCUACUUAUAUACUACAGAGCUAAGGAUGGUAUUGGCUACAUGAUUUUAGAUAGUCAUGAUUAAGGAGGGUAUCGGUCAGAGCAGGCUAGGCUGUGCUGCAGUAACAAACACUACCUCCUAUAGCUUAUCCCAACAAAAAUGUAUUUCCUCCAUACAAAUAUAUGCUGGAUUCCAUACAAAUGUAUGUUGGAAGAAAAAUGUAUUUUUUUCGACAAAAAUGUCCAACACUCAUUUCUUUUGCCAAAGCAAGUCCCUUGGCCAUGUGUAACUUCACAAAGGCUGGGCAACUACAAUUUUGCCCUGUGUGUGCAAGAGGAAAGAGAGGGAAUAACAGUGAAUGAUACCAGCGACUGCCAGAGGGUGUCAUGGGUGAAGAGAGGAGAGGAACAGCUCAGAAGGCCUAAGAGGGUGCACCUGAUGAGACCAGGAGCCACCCUUCCUGGGCCUGGCACACUAAGUAAUUAGCUGUCUCUUCUCACUUAAUCCUUACAACCCUUACAACCACUACAUGAGGUGAGCACUGUGAAAAGCCGCUCCACUAAUGAGGAAACCGAGACCCAGGAAGGUUUAAAAGUUUGCCCAAGAUCAGACUGCAAGCAAGUAGCAAAUUUCAUAUCAAGCCCAAGGGUUCUCUGGCCUUGGACCUGGGCUUAUAACUACUCUUCUGGCUGCGUUCAGAUGGAUGAAGGAGAAGGCUCUGACAAGUCAGGUGUUCCUGACUUGCUUGUGUAGACUAGGGAAAGGAUGGCUCAAGAAGGCUGGGAGGCUCUCAGAUGCUUAAUUCUCCCUUAGAGCAGGACGUGUCCCUUAUGAAGAAGAAGAGCUCAAUGGAGAUUGUCGUAGCCACAUGACCAGUGUACUUCAAGUGGAAAGGACAUGAGUGAAAGACGGAAUGAUGGUGCAGAAGGGAGCCAGUGCUCUGCACGUAGUAGGUGCUCAGUUCAUGUUUUAAAAUGGAACUCAAUAGAGCCCUGGUGGAGCACUUUUAGGAAGGAACAAAUCAAAAUGGGCUACAGAGAAACAGAAGAGUGUCGCUCAUGAUAGAAAGCAGAACUCCUCCACUUCUAUUUUAAAUAUUUUGUCAGUCAAAAUAAUGCUAAUAUUGGCCAGAGGACCAUAGUCGUCAGAGUUCUCCAGAAAAACAGAACCAAUAGAAUAUGUAUACAGAAAAAGGAAGAGAGAGAGAGAAAGAAAGAUUUAUUUUGAAUAAGUGACUCAUGUAAUCAUGGAGACUUGACAAUUGCAAAAUGAAAUUUUGCUGGAGACCUAGGAAAGAGCUGCAGUUGAGUCUGAAGGUCAUCUGCUGGAAGAAUUCCCUCUUCUUCAAGGAGCCUCAGUUUUUUCCUAUGUAGGCCUUCAACUGAUUAGAUGAGGCCCACCCAUGUUAUGGAGACAUGUGCUUUACUCAAUGUCUACAGAUUUUAAAUUUUUUAAAUAACUUUUUUUAAAGAUUUUAUUUAUUUAUUCAUGAGAGACAGAGAGAGAGAGAGAGAGAGAGAGAGAGGCAGAGAAACAGGCAGAGGGAGAAGCAGGCUCCUCGCAGGGAGCCCGAUGCAGGACUCGAUCUCGGGUCUCCAGGAUCAUGCCCUGGGUCGAAGGCAGACACUUAACUGCUGAGCCACCCAGGGAUCCCUACGGUUUAUUUAUUUAUUUAUUUAUUUAUUUAUUUAUUUAUUUAUUAUCCCUACAGAUUUAAAUUUUAAUCAUAUCUUGUAAUAACCUCACAGAAACAUCUAAAUAAUGUUUGGCUAAAUUUCUGGGUACUGUGAUCUAACCAGGUUGCCACACACACACACACAAAUAAAGCAUCCCAAGGACCAUAGACAGCAUAUGAGCCAACAGGUCCAGGAUGGGGGCUGGCAAUGGUGAAUGGGUACCUGGAUGAUGCAAGUGGGGUCCUGCCUCCCACCUCAGUGACCUGCAUCUUGCAGCCAGCACAGAUGUUCUGGUGAGCUGCUCCAGCAUUCAUAGACAUGAAUGGUUCUGGUAGCCAAAAUGGGCAAGAAGGUAAUUCCAGAAACUCUGACCCUUAUGUUUACCCUUGGCGAGGUUCUAAAAUGCCAAAAAUGAUGCUUUAGAAGACCUCAGAAAAAGAAGUA
rnacentral:lncRNA from 1 species